GUCCAUGCCGUAACGAUGAAGACUGGCUGUUGGGCAUCUAUUGAUGCUUAGUAGCGAAGCUAACGCGUUAAGUCUUCCGCCUGGGAGUACGGCCGCAAGGUUAAACUCAAAGAAUUGACGGGGCCCGCACAAGCGGUGGAGCAUGUGGUUUAAUUCGACGCAACGCGAAGAACCUUACCUAUCCUUGACAUCCUAGGAACCUGCUGGAAACAGUGGGGUGCCUUCGGGAGCCUAGAGACAGGUGCUGCAUGGCUGUCGU
rnacentral:rRNA from 1 species